GAUGAAGAACGUAGCGAAAUGCGAUAAGUAAUGUGAAUUGCAGAAUUCAGUGAAUCAUCGAAUCUUUGAACGCACAUUGCGCCCGCUAGUAUUCUGGCGGGCAUGCCUGUCCGAGCGUCAUUUCAACCCUCAAGCCCCCGGGCUUGGUGUUGGGGAUCGGCGAGCCUCCGCGCCCGCCGUCCCCUAAAUCUAGUGGCGGUCUCGCUGUAGCUUCCUCUGCGUAGUAGCACACCUCGCACUGGGAAACAGCGCGGCCACGCCGUUAAACCCCCAACUUCUGAACGUUUGACCGCGGAUCAGGUAGGAAUACCCGCUGAACUUAAGCAUAUCAAUAAGCGGAGGA
rnacentral:misc_RNA from 1 species